rnacentral:rRNA from 1 species
CACGUAGGUUGCGAGCGUUGUCCGGAAUUAUUGGGCGUAAAGAGCUCGUAGGCGGUGUGUCGCGUCGGCCGUGAAAACCUGUGGCUUAACUAUGGGCUUGCGGUCGAUACGGGCAUCACUGGAGUUCGGCAGGGGAGACUGGAAUUCCUGGUGUAGCGGUGAAAUGCGCAGAUAUCAGGAGGAACACCGGUGGCGAAGGCGGGUCUCUGGGCCGAUACUGACGCUGAGGAGCGAAAGCGUGGGGAGCGAACAGG